rnacentral:rRNA from 1 species
AGAGUGAACGCUGGCGGUAGGCCUAACACAUGCAAGUCGAACGGCAGCACAGUAGGAGCUUGCUCUUACGGGUGGCGAGUGGCGGACGGGUGAGGAAUACAUCGGAAUCUACCUUUUGGUGGGGGAUAACGUAGGGAAACUUACGCUAAUACCGCAUACGCCCUUCGGGGGAAAGCCGGGGACCAGCAAUGGCCUGGUGCUGAUAGAUGAGCCGAUGUCGGAUUAGCUAGUUGGUGAGGUAAUGGCUCACCAAGGCGACGAUCCGUA